rnacentral:rRNA from 1 species
GCUUUAUAAAUAAUUUAAAUUUAGUUAGUUUAGGUAAUAAAAAUUAAAUUUAGUUAUUUUAUUUCAUUGGGGUGAUGUGAGCAUAAUUAUUAUUAACUGUUUAGAAAUGAUACUAUAUUGAAAGAAUUUAUAAUAAAUGAUCCUUAUUAAAGAUUAAAAGACUAAGUU